AAUACAUGCAAGUCGAGCGAACAGAUAAGGAGCUUGCUCCUUUGACGUUAGCGGCGGACGGGUGAGUAACACGUGGGUAACCUACCUAUAAGACUGGGAUAACUUCGGGAAACCGGAGCUAAUACCGGAUAACAUUUGGAACCGCAUGGUUCUAAAGUGAAAGAUGGUUUUGCUAUCACUUAUAGAUGGACCCGCGCCGUAUUAGCUAGUUGGUAAGGUAACGGCUUACCAAGGCGACGAUACGUAGCCGACCUGAGAGGGUGAUCGGCCACACUGGAACUGAGACACGGUCCAGACUCCUACGGGAGGCAGCAGUAGGGAAUCUUCCGCAAUGGGCGAAAGCCUGACGGAGCAACGCCGCGUGAGUGAUGAAGGGUUUCGGCUCGUAAAACUCUGUUAUUAGGGAAGAACAAACGUGUAAGUAACUGUGCACGUCUUGACGGUACCUAAUCAGAAAGCCACGGCUAACUACGUGCCAGCAGCCGCGGUAAUACGUAGGUGGCAAGCGUUAUCCGGAAUUAUUGGGCGUAAAGCGCGCGUAGGCGGUUUCUUAAGUCUGAUGUGAAAGCCCACGGCUCAACCGUGGAGGGUCAUUGGAAACUGGGAAACUUGAGUGCAGAAGAGGAAAGUGGAAUUCCAUGUGUAGCGGUGAAAUGCGCAGAGAUAUGGAGGAACACCAGUGGCGAAGGCGACUUUCUGGUCUGUAA
rnacentral:rRNA from 1 species